UUUUGUUUUUAUUUCAUCUAUCUUCUUACUCAAAAUGAGUGAGAAUAAUAAGAAGGUUGCUGCGUACAAAGAUAAAAUCAAAGAGAAGUAU
rnacentral:ribozyme from 1 species